CGGGGAAUUUUGCACAAUGGGGGAAACCCUGAUGCAGCGACGCCGCGUGAUUUAGAAGGCCUUCGGGUUGUAAAAAUCUUUUUUACGGGAUGAAAAUGACAGUACCGUAAGAAUAAGGUCCGGCUAAAUACGUGCCAGCAGCCGCGGUAAUACGUAUGGACCGAGCGUUGUCCGGAAUCAUUGGGCGUAAAGGGUACGUAGGCGGCCUAGUAAGUUAGAAGUGAAAUAAUAUAGCUCAACUAUAUAAAGCUUUUAAAACUGCUAGGCUUGAGAGAUGGAAGGGAAAGUGGAAUUCCUAGUGUAGCGGUGAAAUGCGCAGAUAUUAGGAAGAAUACCGGUGGCGAAGGCGACUUUCUGGUCAUCAUCUGACGCUGAGGUACGAAAGCGUGGGUAGCAAACAGG
rnacentral:rRNA from 1 species